GACGAACGCUGGCGGCGCGCCUAACACAUGCAAGUCGAGCGAGAACCAGGACUUCGGUCCUGGGGAAAGCGGCGAACGGGUGAGUAUCACGUGAGUAACCUGCCCUCGACACUGGAAUAGCCCGGGGAAACCCGGAUUAAUGCCGGAUAGCCCCUCAGCCCUUCGGGGCGGUGGGAAAAGGUAGCUUUGGCCUCUGGUCGAGGAUGGGCUUGCGUCGGAUUAGCUUGUUGGUGGGGUAAUGGCCCACCAAGGCGACGAUCCGUAGCUGGGCUGAGAGGACGAUCAGUCACACUGGAACUGAGACACGGUCCAGACUCCUACGGGAGGCAGCAGUAGGGAAUAUUGCACAAUGGAGGAAACUCUGAUGCAGCGACGCCGCGUGAGUGAUGAAGGCCUUCGGGUCGUAAAGCUCUGUCGCAGGGGAAUAACACAAUGAAUGUACCCUGUAAGAAAGGAUCGGCUAACUUCGUGCCAGCCGCCGCCGUAACAC
rnacentral:rRNA from 1 species